rnacentral:misc_RNA from 1 species
AAAAGAGAAGAUUUACCUAAAUUUUAUAUUUAGAUCAAGGUACUUGUCCGAAAUCAAUGUAUGACAAUAAAACUCUCACUUUUUCAACCCACCAAAUUACCCAAUAGAAAAAGUUUUGAUAUCUUGCCUCGCAUUAUAUUACCUUACUUUAAAAAAACUCCAUAUACUCUAUCUGAACAUAGACUAAAUCAUUUGAAGGGUCCGAAGAAAAUAGUGUUAUUAGGAAACUUUAUGCAAAAUUAGUCUGUUAUUAGAAGACUUUUUCAUUUGAAAACUAUAUUACAUGAAGUUCAACUAUCAUAUUCAGAAUUUAUCGAGGAAAAUGUAAGUCUUCUGUGCAAGUUAGGCUAAGUACUUCGUCGGAACUGAAGGAGAAGUUAUGCAUGCAAGCAACUUCUUGCAUACUACUCGCAAGUCAUGUGAAGGAUCCGAAGAAGAUAUGCUUAAGAGCACUUGUCUGGCUUCUAGCAAUCCCUCUGAUAUGCUUUCCAAAAUGGCAUCUUCACUGCCCAUGAGUGAUGCCACUAGCUUUGCACCUGCCAUCUUUUCCUUCUCAGAACCUUCCCUAAGAACUUUCACGGAGAGUUUAAGAAGAUCAACUGAAUAUGGAAGGAUUGCAGACUUUAGAUGGUACACAGCUGAAAACAGAACCUGAACACAAGCAGCUCUGAUCUCUGCAUGCAUUAUCAUCUCAACAGAAUGAAUAAGAUUUGGAAGAGUUCUUCGAGCAAAAGAUUUCUUGCCAGAAUCUGAUAUCUUCUGGCAAGCACUUAUGAGAGUGUUAGCCAUACAAAGACGAAAAGAAUGUGGAACUGGUGCAUCAAAUUCAUUUUUUUCACUCCUUAUUGUGGAGAUAGAAACUUCUUUUUUAUCAUUUGUCAGUUGAUGGAUUACAUAGGCCAGAGCAGAGUUAUCUGAGGCAUCAUUCCCAGAAUUUCUCGUCUUCCCAAUAGUGCUAUACUUCUCUGAGGAGUCCUUAAAUGAUUUGAGAGCUUGCAGUUCAGCACAUAUCAUCAGUGCCAAGCAGUCAAUGCAUCCAUGUUGUGCUUUGGAAACUUCAUCCCCAUCUAAAGACGGCCACAACACAACUGUUUCUAUUGUUUUCCUGAUUUGAAGAAUUGCAGGAUGAGAAACUGAAUCACUCCCUCUAACCAUAAGAGAAGAGCAAAUGGCAAAUAGACAAGCUUUUAUCCUUAGUAUAUCGUGAGAAAUUGCAGCAUGUUCUAAUAAGGAGGAAACAAUCGUAAGGAGCACCUGAGGAUGAAUGCGGCCACAGAGCUCAGCAGCAAGUUUUCUUACAUCUUCAAAUUCGUACUUAUUAAACGCCCUCUGUAGAAGGAAUGCAGCAACACACUCAUCAACAACAUUGAUAUCUUCCCAUUCAUGAGUAAUGCCUUGGAUGGGAAGUUGACCGUACAUAGUAUGAGAAUUCAGGUCAUCAAAAACUCCCAAUGGAAGCAUCCGAAUGAUAAGUAAUGGACAAAGGCGCUCAAAUAAAGAUUGUUCCAUUUUCAUAAACUCCUCACUCGUGCAGGAUUUACUCUCCCAUCUGGACAAGAAGCCCUUGCUGAUCCCUUCCUGUGGCUUAAUCUGCAACAGGACACGAGAAAGUACUACAUCCGCAGCUUCUGCUAGGUAUUCACUUAUACAACUUAAAAACCGCACAAUAGUUGCAUUUGCUGGCUCUGCAAACAUCUUGUCAAUCAAUGGUCCAAUCAAGGAGUUCCAGUUUUGGACACUUUUUGACCACUCUGACAUCAGCUUAAGUACUCGAUCAAUAUCCACCUUUGGUCCUUCUCUUUGAUAUCCAGUAGUUAGUGAAAGAUCUAGACCUUGGUUGAGAUUGCUAAGGCAGUCAAGCAGCAUACAUAUAACUUCAGGUUUCUGGCUAUGACGUUUGAGCAUUGUAGUUAAUGAAGUACUAGCAAAUGAUUGCACUCCUUCAUCUGAUGAAUAAAUAAGGUGUACUAAGGCAGGAAAAACUAAUGCUGGAUCUAUCAUUGAAAUCAAUUUAGAUGCUUGUUGACGAAUUGUAAUAUCUUCAUCGCUAAAGCGCUCUAGCAAGUUGUUUGCUAUAUCUUGCCAUGCCAAAUGGGAAAGUUUGCCUGUGGAGUCCAAUGACAUGCACAACACUUGUGAUACAACAUCAAUAGCAUUCCUUCUCUGCAAAGCAUUUCCAGAAGCAAGGCGCUCCAGAACUUGUUUCAGGCAAUUACUGUUUGAGGUCAUGGAGCAAUAUUCUGCUAUAAGAACAACAACUGCUUUAGCAAUGCCAUCACGCUCAUCUAGAAGGUUAAGCAACAAAGGUAACACCAUAUCCAUCUGUCUACUUUCAGUGAGGCCAUCUCCAGAAUAAUAAUUUGGUUUAAAUAUGGCUUCCUUAAAUAUGCAAACAGCUCCAGCUAUCACAUCUUCAUCAGCAUAGUGCAGCUGAGAUAAAAGAAUACGUGAUAUCUGCAUUCCAUAUUCUGACAUUGUGCUUUCAAAUUUCUUUCUGUCCAAACGUCCCAAAAGAAGGCAUAGACAGUUGAGGAAAAAUUUUCUAGUCUCCAUACCAGCAUCCUUGUUCUCUGUAUGACCCUCAGGAUGGUUGUCUGUAUAAUACUGAAUGCCAGAUAUGUACUGGUCCAACAAUUCAUUGCAAUGCUGAGAAAAUUUAUGAUCUUCCAAAUGCAAUAAAAUGCUGUAGUGCUUCCAACAAGAAGAAAGUAGCAAGGCUCCAGUUUUGGGAAAGUUUGCAUCUGUCUCAUCCUGAAAGUAACCAUAGUGCCCUUUUAUUUCCUGCAACCAUUUAAGCACUUGCUCCACCCCUUUAGCAUGUAAAGGCCGACUCUUUCUGCUCCAAGCAAGAAGUCUCUGUAAUAGAGUAGCAAGUUCUUGUAUCCUCUUCCAAAGCAAGUAUGCCAUGUCAAAGUUUGAGUCUUCUGAAAGUUCACGAGAUGAUUUUUCUUUCUUCUCUCCAAUAGCAGCUGAUACAAGACUAAUAGGCUGGUUAGAUGCAUUUGAAUUCAACAGCUUUUGAUUUUUGCUCAAAACCUUAUUCUUCUUUGUUAAUGCUUCACUAAUAGAUAAAAUACAAUCAGCAGCAGACAUUGAAAGGCGAGACGGUAACUCAAAUCCAUCCUGCAAAGUGCUUCCCUUGGAUACUAUAUGUGACAAAAAAGGGAUAUACGAGCAAAGUAUCUUCAAUAAAGCAUUGUAAUUGUCUCUUAUUCCGUUUACAGGAUGCUUAUCCAUAAAAUUCUCAUACUCUACAAGACUGCGAAUAAGAAUACACCAACCAAGAGCUAUAUAACGAUCAUCUUUUCUCGCUAAAAUGUCAGCAAGACUCCUAGCAACAGCUUGGAAAAGAAAUUCAUCUUGAAAGAGCCAGUUUAUAAGUAUCAACGCUUGCCCACCAUGCUUUGAGUCUUUGCUCCUCAAAGAAUGUUGAAUGAUGGGAAUGAGAAUAUCAUCCAAUUUCUGGUCUCUCUCAGCACCGUCUUUAACGAACUUGUGCAGAAACCAUAGGGAAUCCUCCAAGGACCCGAGAGAAGGCCUUUUGUUAGAAUCAGGAGAAAGGCGAGAAAUGGCAUCGUGGAGCUUCCUGGAGCGAGCGCCCAGUAGAGUGGUUAUGGCUUUCCCUAUACUCACCGAAACCAUGGAUUCCGGUGAUUCUGGCGACUCUGCUUUCCAUAUUAACGUUUCUUGUGGCUCCAUUUUUGCUAAAAGUUAACCCCUUUAUCAAGUUUCAGUUUUAUAAAAUGAAAAAUUGGGAGAGGAAAUUGGAAAAAUUCGAGCUUGUAGUUUCCAGACGAAAGUUGGACAACAAUGGAGAAGGAUGGUGCCUUCGCAGCGCGGCCUCGCUCAGAGAUAUUACACGCAGCGUUUUG